AGCCUUUGACAUGGGACGUUUGAGUCGCAGAGACGCGACUCUUCAGUUCGGCUGGCGUCCACACAGGUGCUGCAUGGCUGUCGUCAGCUCGUGUCGUGAGAUGUUGGGUUAAAGUCCCGCAACGAGCGCAACCCUCAUCUUCAGUUGCCAGCGGUUCGGCCGGGCACUCUGAAGAAACCGCCGGUGACAAGCCGGAGGAAGGCGGGGAUGACGUCAAGUCCUCAUGGCCCUUACG
rnacentral:rRNA from 1 species